rnacentral:rRNA from 1 species
GAUGAACGCUGACAGCAUGCUUAACACAUGCAAGUCGAUGGGGAAGUGGUGCUUGCACCAUGGCAACCAUGGCGGACGGGUGAGUAACGCGUAAGGGACUUACCUGCAGGACUGGGAUAACAGGGGGAAACUCCUGACAAGACCGGAUAAUGUCAUGGAGCUGCAUGGCUUUAUGAUGAAAGGAGACGCCUGCGGAGAGCCUUGCGUCCUAUUAGCUAGUUGGUGAGGUAAUGGCUCACCAAGGCGAAGAUAGGUAGCCGGCCUGAGAGGGUGGACGGCCACAAGGGGACUGAGAUACGGCCCUUACUCCUACGGGAGGCAGCAGUGGGGAAUAUUGGACAAUGGGGGCAACCCUGAUCCAGCAAUUCUGUGUGCACGAAGAAGGUUUUCGGAUUGUAAAGUGCUUUCAGCAGGGAAGAAGUAAGUGACGGUACCUGCAGAAGAAGCGACGGCUAAAUACGUG